CAAAGGAGACUGCCAGUGAUAAACUGGAGGAAGGUGGGGAUGACGUCAAGUCAUCAUGGCCCUUACGACCAGGGCUACACACGUGCUACAAUGGCGCAUACAAAGAGAAGCGACCUCGCGAGAGCAAGCGGACCUCAUAAAGUGCGUCGUAGUCCGGAUUGGAGUCUGCAACUCGACUCCAUGAAGUCGGAAUCGCUAGUAAUCGUGGAUCAGAAUGCCACGGUGAAUACGUUCCCGGGCCUUGUACACACCGCCCGUCACACCAUGGGAGUGGGUUGCAAAAGAAGUAGGUAGCUUAACCUUCGGGAGGGCGCUUACCACUUUGUGAUUCAUGACUGGGGUGAAGUCGUAACAAGGUAACCGUAGGGGAACCUGCGGUUGGAUCACC
rnacentral:rRNA from 1 species